rnacentral:rRNA from 1 species
AACGAACGCUGGCGGCGCGCCUAAUACAUGCAAGUCGAACGAGAAGGUGUAGCAAUACACUUGUACAGUGGCGAACGGGUGAGGAAUGCAUGGGCAACCUACCCUCGAGUGGGGAAUAACCAGCCGAAAGGUUGGCUAAUACCGCGUACGCUUCCGGGUCUCCGGAUCCGGAGGAAAGUCACACCGUGGGUGUGACGCUCAAGGAUGGGCUCAUGUCCUAUCAGCUUGNGGUGAGGUAACGGCUCACCAAGGCAACGACGGGUAGCUGGUCUGAGAGGACGAUCAGCCACACUGGCACUG